CUCUCCGACUCUCCAUGUCUUCCCAUCUUCUCAUGAAAGCUUUUCUUCUCAUUAUCUUCUAUAGCUUUCUCCCAUGGUUUAACCUGACUCACUGAUGACAAGACCAGCACGAAACUGUUGACUGGAGCAGCCACAACAACAAAUUUGUUGAACUCAAGAUCCGACUCAAGAUCUCACACGCCGAACCACCUCUCUCGCUGGAUCAGUCCUCUCGCCGCCACGCAAGAUCUCUCUCUCUCCCGUGCCUCUCUCUCUCUGUCUCUCUCGCCGGACCUCUCUCUCGCUGGACCUCUCUCUCUCGCCGUCAUUUCCGUAAUUAGGUAGUUCUUGGAUAUGAACAUGGUGUUCUUCGGAACACUAAUCCAAGAUAUGUAUGCCAGAGAGAGUUUGCGUUGAAGAAUUUGCCUGAUGACCCUCUUUUCCAGCUGAUAUUUUUGUUUUUCUUUCUUUCUUUUGCUUUCUUAUAUAAACUCUUGCAUUGUGGGCAGUGGUUAACAGAACCUUCAUCUCUAUAGGUUUCAAAGCUUUAUGAAGUUGUGCCUCCUGUUCUCACCAAACUCAGAAAGGUACUACACGGUGCUCUUUGGUGUCUAAAUGAGUCUUGCUAUCUGCUCUCAGAUAAUAUGGGACAGAGCUCUUGGACUUGGACUUGAGAGGCCAAAGUGUGUUACAAUGGAUUGGCUUGAAGUACUGUAAGAAAGCUUCAUCUGCUUAUAUUGACAGAGGAGUUGCUCGACCUUGUAAUGAUUGUAAUAUUGUUGUAUGUUCUAUGCAAUAAAGAACUCCCAAGUAGCGUUUGUUUUUCUUCAAGAUUAUACUUCCUAACAGAAUGUAUAUUCGGAUUUAAAGACAUAAAAUGAGAUCAAAUAUCAAUCAAAAUUUUUGAGUUUUCUCCAAA